rnacentral:rRNA from 1 species
UACAGAGGGCUCAAGCGUUGUUCGGAUUCAUUGGGCGUAAAGGGUGCGUAGGUGGCGCCGUAAGUCGGGUGUGAAAUUUCGGAGCUUAACUCCGAAACUGCAUUCGAUACUGCGGUGCUUGAGGACUGGAGAGGAGACUGGAAUUCAUGGUGUAGCAGUGAAAUGCGUAGAGAUCAUGAGGAAGACCAGUGGCGAAGGCGGGUCUCUGGACAGUUCCUGACGCUGAGGCACGAAGGCCAGGGGAGCAAACGGG